ACGCGCAAGAGCGCCGCCGGUCGGAGUAGGCGGGGCCCUUGCGUAGCGUGCGUUGCUCUGGGUUCCAGGUACUUUCCGACACUCAGGCCCGGGGCGCUAGCGGGCUUCACUGUUCUCCACUCGGGGAUCUGAGUUCUUCGUGGAAGCCGUGCGGCAGGAUCCCUGCUUGACUCCUUGGAAGGAGGCCAUCAUGAAGAGAUUUAUACAUUAAACUUGAAAUGGGCACUGUCAGGUGCCAGCCUCCAGAGCCUUGUAAAGACCUCAACCUAGAGACAUGGCCCAGAAAUAUUUGGGGUCUGCCUGGGCCUUAUCGUCUGCCCUGCACUGUUCCCCGCAACUGAAGGUGUAUACUCCUUCACUUCUUGGCAAGUGAACGGCUUGAGCCUCCCCAGGACUGCCGGCAGCUCUGUCACCUGCCUCACUCUUCCUCCAGCUUUCCAGUGCUUGGGAGUUGGUGAUGUUCCGUAACACAGGGCUGUGGCCCAGCAGCCGUGCCUAGGAAGCCAGGAAGGGCAGCAGAUACUGAAGGCUGCAUUUCUUGGCCACCACCCUAGACUCUAUUCUCUUCUGCCCCUCCUCCAACUCCCCUGGCCUGCUCAGCCACAUAUGAAACCCUUCCCCAACCAACUGGGAGGUAGCCCUGGGAUGCCUGUGCCCCUACCCAGUCAGCACCCCUAUGUUUUCUGUUGGGUCUCAGAGGACACUUACGGGCAAGGACUGGAAACGUCUGAUAGAAAACUGCUCACUGCAGAAGGAAACAAGGAAAGGUCAGAGCUAAAAGUCCCUGGGGACAGGGACUAAAGGCAGGGAAGAUAUCCCUCCCCUAGAUCCCUUGACAUCCCUGGGGGCCAGCCUAUCAUGGGCAGAGAGGGUGAGGGACACUUACUUUCGAAUAAUCCGGCUGGCUGCUUGGAUGGCCUGCUCAAACCUAGAAGACAGAAGAUGUGGCCCAUCUUCCUCUACAUCCCAUUACCCAGCACUAGGCCACAAACCAUAAGGCCCAAGGACCAGGGCUCAGGCCAGAGCAAAGGGAGGGGGAGGAAGAGGCCCACUGUCAGUGGGGCCCAGGUAUUGAGGAAGGGGAGAUGAGAGGCAGCCUGGAAUUUUAAAGGCUUCCCUGAAUGGAAGAGGGCCCAGAGACAAGCAGUGAAGGAGACAGCUGGGGCAGGUCACAGGGUCAUUGAGAUAUCACCAAGGCAACAGUCUCGCCAGCCUGCAUACAAGCCUUCCACCUGUAUGCAAAUCACCUAAGUGGGGCCAUAUGGCUGCCAGGGAAGGCAUCCAUCCACCCCAUGAUGACGGCCAUGGGCAUCUAGCAAUGUGAGUUUAGUCAGGGGUGGAUGCCAGCAAGGCUGGGCUCUCCUCCCCCAGUGAGGAGCUGGUCUGGUUCCUUCCAGGACAGGGGCCUGCUUUAAUGGCCCCCUGGACCAGCCCCAGUCUGCCACAGCAGACCCCCUAGUGACAAAUGUACAGGGUCACAUCCUUUCCUCCCUCCUAUGGAAUUUUCCAGGACCCAGCCUCUGUUCCACCCCCUCCUCCUGCCUUAGAAGAGGCCAGCAGGCAAGGAAUUCCAACAGAUGUUCCUUUUGAAGCUAAAGCAUAAGCUUCUGUAUAUAGGCCCCGCCCCCCAGCUAUGUUACUGGAGACCACCUGCCAUGGGGAACUCUGUGCAUCUGUGCAUGCACACUAACACACACACCAGCUUCUUUCUGAGAAACUAACUGUCAAGGCAGGUGCAGGGGGGGAGGGACUCUGGGCCAAAGUAUCAAGGGGUGUCCCUGUCCCCUCAAGAGAGGGCUGUGCUCAGCCAACUUGGCAUCAGGAUGACCAAUUAAUCUGCUUCAUUUCCAAUUUGCACCUAGUCCUUAGGGGUAAGGCAAGGGCAGCUCUGUGUUGCCCUCCACCCCCACUCAAUUCUGUUUCCUGUUUGUGAACAAACCCUGUACCCCGCCCAGUCGGAUCAAAAGCUAAGGGAGGAAACAGUCACUGCCCUAAACCCAAAGCCACAGUCCCCCGGCUCAGGCUGGGGAUACCCAGCUGCCCCUACUAAUGGUUGGCAGCUGCUCCACCUGCCUGGGCCUUAACAGCUGGAUGGGAACAGCUGUCCUCUGGAAGGCACUACUCACAACCCCUAACAAAGGAAGAAGUAUUCGUCCAGAGCAGAGACCACCAGCUCUCUUGACUUCCAGGGUUUGGCCAGAGAGUAAAGUGUAAAGUGUGUCAUGAAACUAGAGAUUGCUAAUGGGCCAAGGGCCAAAUCAGUCUGCAGCCAACAGUGUGCAACUUUGCCUAAAGCAAAUUAAAGUUUUGAAUUAGUGGGACCAUACUUUUAGGUUGGUGUUUCUCAAACACACACACAUAAUAUGUAUGGGCAAACAAAGGGGACAUAUGGGCUUGGACUGAAAAACAGACUUGGCUAGUGGGAGCCAUCCUCUGCUCCCAGGGAACGCUUUCCCUACCAUUCCUGAGCCCACUCUCAUCUGGUUUCCAUAAAAGCAGACCCUUCCCUGAAACAGGGAGCAAGGUCUGGGAAGGUCAACUAGCCCCAGACAAAUGUUGAGGGAUCUGACUACUUUCCCUGGCCUCUCCACUGAGUUUAGUAGAACUAGGAUUCCCAAAAGUAAGUGGUGAGUCCUUGGUAGUAGGGAUCCACCCCCCUUCUCUACUCACGUCUGUUCUGUCAUCUGGGGGUCCAUAGGGCUGGGGGAAUCCAUGCAGAGACCUAAGGGGACAGAACACCUUGAUCUGAAAGUAGUAUUUUUUAUAUACUUUCCCCACAGCAUCCAAAGAAGAGAAAAAUAAACGUGUUUCUAUUUUAAA